rnacentral:rRNA from 1 species
CGUGUAGGCGGGUUGGUAAGUCAGAUGUGAAAGCCCUGGGCUCAACCCAGGAAGUGCAUUUGAAACUGCCAUCCUUGAGUAUGGGAGGGGAGAGUGGAAUUCCCAGUGUAGAGGUGAAAUUCGUAGAUAUUGGGAGGAACACCCGUAGCGAAGGCGACUCUCUGGACCAAUACUGACGCUGAGACGCGAAAGCGUGGGUAGCAAACAGGAUUAGAUACCCUGGUAGUC